rnacentral:rRNA from 1 species
GACGAACGCUGGCGGCGUGCUUAACACAUGCAAGUCGAACGGUGAAGCGCCUUCCUUUUUGGUGGGUGUGGAUGAGUGGCGAACGGGUGAGUAACACGUGAGUAACCUGCCCCCCUCUUCUGGAUAACCGCAUGAAAGUGUGGCUAAUACGGGAUAUUCUGUGUCUGUCGCAUGAUGGGUCUGGGAAAGAUAUUGUUUCGGUGGGGGAUGGGCUCGCGGCCUAUCAGCUUGUUGGUGGGGUGAUGGCCUACCAAGGCGGUGACGGGUAGCCGGCCUGAGAGGGUGGACGGACACACUGGGAGUGAGACACGGCACAGACUCAUACGGGAGGCAGCAGUGGGGAAUAGUGCACAAUGGGCGCGAGCCUGAUGCAGCGACGCCGCGUGAGGGAUGGAGGCCUGCGGGUUGUGAACCUCUUGCGCCAGUGAAGCAGGCCUGCCUCGUUUGUGGGUGGGUUGACGGUAGCUGGAGAAGAAGCGCCGGCUAACUACGUG